GCAGAGUAGGUGUUCCUGCGUUAAGUGCCGGAGGAUGGGAUGUUGCCUCCGGACGAAGGGCCUCGAGCCCGCGGUAGGGCACCGCAUCCGCUGC
rnacentral:ncRNA from 1 species